rnacentral:rRNA from 1 species
UACGUAGGGGGCAAGCGUUGUCCGGAAUUAUUGGGCGUAAAGAGCUCGUAGGUGGCCACGCCAAGUCGGAUGUGAAAUCUCCCGGCUCAACUGGGAGGGGUCAUUCGAUACUGGCGGGCUCGAGGCCGGUAGGGGGAAGUGGAAUUCCCGGUGUAGUGGUGGAAUGCGUAGAUAUCGGGAGGAACACCAGUGGCGAAGGCGGCUUCCUGGACCGGUUCCUGACACUGAGGAGCGAAAGCGUGGGGAGCGAUCCGGAUU